CACGUAGGGGGCAAGCGUUGUCCGGAUUUAUUGGGCGUAAAGAGCUCGUAGGCGGUUUCGUUAGUCAGGUGUGAAAACCCCAGGCUCAACCUGGGGACGCCACCCGAUACUGCGAUGACUAGAGUCCGGUAGGGGAGUGUGGAAUUCCUGGUGUAGCGGUGAAAUGCGCAGAUAUCAGGAGGAACACCAACGGCGAAGGCAGCACUCUGGGCCGGAACUGACGCUGAGGAGCGAAAGCGUGGGUAGCGAACAGG
rnacentral:rRNA from 1 species